UGGAUAGUUACUAUACACUACAGUGGAGAUGGUGCCCUACAGAGGGUGGAUAGUUACUAUACACUACAGUGGAGAUGGUGCCCUACAGAGGGUGGAUAGUUACUAUACACUACAGUGGAGAUGGUGCCCUACAGAGGGAGGAUAGUUAGUAUACACUACUGUAGAGAUGGUGCCCUACAGAGGGAGGAUAGUUAGUAUACACUACUGUAGAGAUGGUACCCUAGAGGGAGGAUAGUUAGUAUACACUACAGUAGAGAUGGUACCCUACAGAGGGAGGAUAGUUAGUAUACACUACAGUAGAGAUGGUACCCUACAGAGGGAGGAUAGUUAGUAUACACUACAGUAGUGUGCAGUGUAAGGGUUUAUUCCAUUUAAAUGAAUUCCAUUCAGGAAGUAAACUGACAUUCUGAUUCCAAUGUUCCCCGUUCCUUUCAUAUUGACUGAUGUGAAAUCGUAUUGACCCAAACCCUGGUAGUGUGUGAAUCAGGACUGAUUCAGUUAGUAGUUAAGUAUAUUUCCAGUAUUACAGACUUUCCAGUCAGUCUGUAUGACUAGAGACGUCAUGUUGAAUCUACUUCCUAUGUAGAAGAAAGGGACGUGUUGCUUCAGGGUUGGGCUCAAGGCAGUCAAUUCAGUAAGUGAUUUGAAUUUAAAAUCCAAAAUGUUUAAUACUUCUGACAUAAACAGCUUCUCCUUUUCAGAUUAUUAAGAAGUCAUUAAAAAUAGAUGGACUCCUUUUAAUUAUUGAAUUGUAAUUUCAGUUUACUUCCUGAAUUGACUGACUUCAAUUUAGGUGGGCAUAUAUCAUUCUAAGGGUAUUCAUGUAAUGUGUGUUGCUUUCACAGUAAGACUCCAGUCAGUAAAAGAGGUCAGACCUUAAUGCAAUGUGUGUUGCUUUCACAGUGAGACUCCAGUCAGUAAAAGAGGUCAGACCUUAAUGUAAUGUGUGUUGCUUUCACAGUAAGACUCCAGUCAGUAAAAGAGGUCAGACCUUAAUGCAAUGUGUGUUGCUUUCACAGUAAGACUCCAGUCAGUAAGAGGUCAGACCUUAAUGCAAUGUGUGUUGCUUUCACAGUAAGACUCCAGUCAGUAAAAGAGGUCAGACCUUAAUGCAAUGUGUGUUGCUUUCACAGUAAGACUCCAGUCAGUAAGAGGUCAGACCUUAAUGCAAUGUGUGUUGCUUUCACAGUAAGACUCCAGUCAGUAAAAGAGGUCAGACCUUAAUGCAAUGUGUGUUGCUUUCACAGUAAGACUCCAGUCAGUAAGAGGUCAGACCUUAAUGCAAUGUGUGUUGCUUUCACAGUAAGACUCCAGUCAGUAAAAGAGGUCAGACCUUAAUGCAAUGUGUGUUGCUUUCACAGUAAGACUCCAGUCAGUAAGAGGUCAGACCUUAAUGCAAUGUGUGUUGCUUUCACAGUAAGACUCCAGUCAGUAAAAGAGGUCAGACCUUAAUGCAAUGUGUGUUGCUUUCACAGUAAGACUCCAGUCAGUAAAAGAGGUCAGACCUUAAUGCAAUGUGUGUUGCUUUCACAGUAAGACUCCAGUCAGUAAAAGAGGUCAGACCUUAAUGCAAUGUGUGUUGCUUUCACAGUGAGACUCCAGUCAGUAAGAGGUCAGACCUUAAUGCAAUGUGUGUUGCUUUCACAGUAAGACUCCAGUCAGUAAAAGAGGUCAGACCUUAAUGCAAUGUGUGUUGCUUUCACAGUAAGACUCCAGUCAGUAAGAGGUCAGACCUUAAUGCAAUGUGUGUUGCUUUCACAGUAAGACUCCAGUCAGUAAAAGAGGUCAGACCUUAAUGCAAUGUGUGUUGCUUUCACAGUAAGACUCCAGUCAGUAAAAGAGGUCAGACCUUAAUGCAAUGUGUGUUGCUUUCACAGUAAGACUCCAGUCAGUAAAAGAGGUCAGACCUUAAUGCAAUGUGUGUUGCUUUCACAGUGAGACUCCAGUCAGUAAGAGGUCAGACCUUAAUGCAAUGUGUGUUGCUUUCACAGUAAGACUCCAGUCAGUAAAAGAGGUCAGACCUUAAUGCAAUGUGUGUUGCUUUCACAGUAAGACUCCAGUCAGUAAGAGGUCAGACCUUAAUGCAAUGUGUGUUGCUUUCACAGUAAGA